rnacentral:lncRNA from 1 species
UUAAAAAUUGCUUGUGAUUUUUGCAAAAAUAUAUAUCUUAUGACAACAUGAAUCAUUGUAAAUAAUUGUAAGCAAUCUAGCAUUCAACCAUUAGCGCCAAUGCAUUUAUAAAGUAGGACCAAAUAAAAAUCUUCCAGUAAGAUAUAACGUUAUAACUUAUUGCGCAAUUGCACUUGUCAGUAUAAAAUCACCAGUCACGAGUUAUCCCAAGACCCGGAGUAUCUUAAAAUCACACGAUGUACAAAUUUUUACAUGGCUUCGUGUGUCCAUAAAAAUGUAAAGCUUAAAAGAAUUUUACAUAAAUUUCUGCAACAGAAAAGAUUUUGAGGUGGUCCUCUGACAUGGUACUGUACAACUAAGAGUGUCGCGUUUUAACUGCACAUCAAUGACUCUAGAUACUUCCUCUUCGUCUGCAAGUAGCUUACAAAGAACUUCCUUUCCUCCAUUUCAUAUCAAAUCCCUAUAUCAUUUCCUAAUAAAUUCACAAACGUAGUUCAAGUGAGAUUAUUUGGUCGACUGCAUUUGCAAAUAAAAGAAAUCAGUACUCACUUAUAAGAAAUACCAGAUUUUUCACACCAGAUGGUAACAUAUUUACCAAACAAACCAAAAGGAUUCGUACAAACAAGAAAUGUCUGUAAAUGUGGCGCUUAUCGCCCAACUCCAAACAGGGUGAAAUGAUAACUGAGGCUAUUCAAUAUCUUCUUGUCAAUUUAAUUGGAAUUUUUUUGCUUAGUCUCCUUGAUCGAGCAUGCUUAUAGUAUUGUGGUGGGUAAAGAUAUAUGUACCCAUACCUAAGCUUACAAAAAGGAGUAAACAUGAAACAGAAAGGAGUAUAAAACUGCUAUGCUACUGCACAUUUAUGUUACACUGUUAGCUAUAUGAACUGAAAAAUGGCACGCCUGGGGAUGAUUUUUUUGAUAUAAUAUGUACCUGGAAAUUAAUGACAUAAUAUUCCUAGUUUUUAUGUGAAAAUCAACUAUGGCACACAAGAAUCUCAAAAAGGAUUUUACGUGAAGUAUUUACUUCAACCCCAAUAGGAGUUAUAUCUACUUUAAAUCCAAACCUAGAUAAUAGUACCUUCCGAAAUAAAAACUAUGGUAAUUCAACCAGUGAUUUUGACAAGGCAAUUAAGCUAUAAAACUGAAGACAAUUCACAAUCACAAAGGGGGAAUUCCGCAGAGGAAAAAAUAAAACACUAUGUUUUGAUGGAGUUCAUCAUCGUUCAUGACAAAAAGUAGAGCCUAGUAAUAUGGUGAGGCCUCACGGGGAUCCCUACAACAAGAAAAAUGAACUAACGAAUGAGCAGUAACAACACUAAUUGGACACAAACAGGGGCGGCGCCACCGUAUGGGCUGGUAUGGGCGGCCGCCCCGGGUAGCCGGAAUGUGUGUCCUUAAAACCCCCGCCAGUCUUGCCUCCUAGCAUACAGUGUUACAGGCCUGCACAAUGAACCGACUCGGGUGACUUGAAAUCCUAGAUCCGCCAUUGGAAACAAAUAACUUUCUUUUGGAACUGAAUAUUGGUAUCUACAUGAGAUCAAAGAAACAGUAAAAGAACUUGCCAAGAAAAUUAACAUCUACCAAAGUCCCAAAAUGCAAGUUGAAGAAAAAUUGCAAGUGGCUUGAUGCCAAGGUUGUAUCCAUGCUGGCGUUAGGAACACUAACGGGUAUAUGCACUGCAACACAAGAGUAUAAAUCACCAAUACUAAGAGAAAGCAUGCUAUGAGCAAUUUCCACAAAGUAGUACUGAAAGAAAAGAAACAAUAUGGAGAAAGAUUUGACCUUUUCGUAACAGCUGCCAACACCAUCCUGCUGCCACGCUGCCGCCUACCACCCCGCCAUCCGCAUCGUGAUGCUACUGCCUCUCCUCUGCACACCAUGCAACCAACUCGCUUGAAUCAACACAGGAACACAAAACCCCAAGUGAAAUCAAUAACACAAUCUUAACUAUAAAAAGCUCGUCAUAUUCAGGCUUGAGCUCACCUCGUGAACAGACACAUCACUGCAAAUCUACAAUUUAUCAGCUCCUUCUUAUGCAUUCAGACAACUAGUGGGCAAUAAAAAACUGUUUACCAAUGAACAUGUGUUGACGUGUUGUAGAAAUUAGAGUCUGAGGGCUGAAACACAGAAUCAGACUCUGCCUCAGAGGCUUUUUCUACCAGGUUAUCACUUGAGACAUGCCCUUUCACACCCUGAAAAUUUAAUCACACCGUAAAUUUGAAAAGACCAACAGUAUGGUACCUAAUGCGUAAUCUCCUUGCACUUGCAGUACCAAGCUGCAACUUGCUUUUUUGGAAAACCAUAACAAAAAUAAGAUUCGUUUAACCUUCUCUGAACUUUUUCUAUGUUGUCUAAAUGAUUUAACCAGGAAGAGCUCUAGCAACUAAGUAACUUAUCCUAUUCAAAUCCACUGUAUCAAAGAAUUGGACCAAACACGCAGGAAAGGAAGAAAUUGAUAGUCACGACAAUGGACAGAAAAUAAAAUUUCUGAAUCUUGUGAGGCACCUGAAGGUCAGCUGCACCAGGAAAUUAAAUGGAUAGGGUCUAGAGGUUGGCAUGACUAGUACGCUCCGGUAGCCGGCAGGGAGGCGGUGAUCGAUUCCAGCGGCUUCUGGGCUCUUGAUAUCCAGAAAUUUUACAAGGAAAUAUCCAGAACGUUUUGCAACUAUGGAUGUGCACUCAGUUAAUCCUGACCUAGCUAAAAUGAGGCCUAACAAAAUUGUGUGAACUUGAGAGAUUGGGAAGGGAUCAGAAAUCAAACAUUACCUAGCCUGGGUGGAACCGAAGGCAAACAUGGGAGAACUUGGGGACAUAUGGACCUCGACCUGCACCCCUGCAACGUAAUCAAGCAGAUCUAGCAGGGUGAGAAAAGGAUGGAAGGCAUACACAAAGAAAAAUAAGGAGUGGGUGUGAGGAAGGUGCAGAACCUGCGUUGGAGUGGGUCGUUGAGGACAUUAGCGGCAGUGGGAGACCACUGGAUCCGAUUCAACUUUAGAUGGCAGGUGGAGGGAGGAGAAGGAGGUGAGGGGAGCAGGGCGUCGGCGAUCUAUGCGCUGGGGACGGCUUGCCGGUGCAGGUGUCAACCCCUGAUUUGUGCUCGGCCGACGGACACGACUGCGCCACAUCGCGUUGCAUUCAUCUUGGUCUACGCGAGCCAGCGGCAGUGGUGGCCAGGUAGUCGAUUCUGCACCAUCCAGGUCAGGUCAACGUGUUCACGCAGUAGAAGUAGGCGGCGUUGAAGGAAGGGGAGACAUUGUUGCCGGUUGGGGAGCAGGGCAUCGGCGACGAAGGAAGUGGAGGGGCACGGCGUCGGGCGUCGCCGUCGGCUUCAGCGGAUUGGGACAGUCGGGGAGGAGUGCGAUAUCGUGGCCUGCGUGGGUGGUGAGGUGGUUU